CCUACGGGGGGCAGCAGUGAGGAAUAUUGGUCAAUGGACGCAAGUCUGAACCAGCCAAGUAGCGUGCAGGAUGACGGCCCUCCGGGUUGUAAACUGCUUUUAGUUGGGAAUAAAAGGGGGCUCGUGAGCCCCGUAUUGUAUGUACCAUCAGAAAAAGGACCGGCUAAUUCCGUGCCAGCAGCCGCGGUAAUACGGAGGAUGCGAGCGUUAUCCGGAUUUAUUGGGUUUAAAGGGUGCGUAGGCGGAUUUUUAAGUCAGCGGUAAAAUGUCCGGGCUCAACCCGGGCCGGCCGUUGAAACUGGGGAUCUUGAGUGGGUGAGAAGUAUGCGGAAUGCGUGGUGUAGCGGUGAAAUGCAUAGAUAUCACGCAGAACUCCGAUUGCGAAGGCAGCAUACCGGCGCCCGACUGACGCUGAGGCACGAAAGCGUGGGGAUCGAACAGGAUUAGAUACCCUAGUAGUC
rnacentral:rRNA from 1 species